rnacentral:rRNA from 1 species
AGCGAAAGCGAGUCUGAAUAGGGCGAAUGAGUACGUGGUCGUAGACCCGAAACCAGGUGAUCUACCCAUGUCCAGGGUGAAGGUGAGGUAACACUCACUGGAGGCCCGAACCCACGCACGUUGAAAAGUGCGGGGAUGACCUGUGGAUAGCGGUGAAAUUCCAAUCGAGCCCGGAGAUAGCUGGUUCUCUCCGAAAUAGCUUUAGGGCUAGCCUCAAGAUUUAGAGAAACGGGGGUAGAGCACUGAAUGUCCUAGGGGGUAUUGCACUUACCGAAGACUA